CAUAGCUCAACAGGUCAGAGUGCCAGUCUUAUAAGCUGGUGGUUCGGGGUUCAAGUCCCCG
rnacentral:tRNA from 1 species